GCAAGUCGAGCGGAGACAGUGAGUAGCUUGCUAUGAGCUGUUUUAGCGGCGGACGGGUGAGUAACGCGUGAGCAACCUUUCCCAGACAGGGGAAUAACACACCGAAAGGUGUACUAAUACCGCAUAAGACCACGGUUUCACAUGGAACUGAGGUAAAAGAUUUAUCGGUUUGGGGUGGGCUCGCGUCCGAUUAGGUAGUUGGUGAGGUAACGGCCCACCAAGCCGACGAUCGGUAGCCGACCUGAGAGGGUGAUCGGCCACAUUGGGACUGAGACACGGCCCAAACUCCUACGGGAGGCAGCAGUGGGGAAUAUUGGGCAAUGGGGGGAACCCUGACCCAGCAACGCCGCGUGGAGGAAGAAGGUUUUCGGAUCGUAAACUCCUGUCCUUGGAGACGAGUAGAAGACGGUAUCCAAGGAGGAAGCCCCGGCUAACUACGUGCCAGCAGCCGCGGUAAUACGUAGGGGGCAAGCGUUGUCCGGAAUAAUUGGGCGUAAAGGGCGCGUAGGCGGCUCGGUAAGUCUGGAGUGAAAGUCCUGCUUUUAAGGUGGGAAUUGCUUUGGAUACUGUCGGGCUUGAGUGCAGGAGAGGUUAGUGGAAUUCCCAGUGUAGCGGUGAAAUGCGUAGAGAUUGGGAGGAACACCAGUGGCGAAGGCGACUAACUGGACUGUAACUGACGCUGAGGCGCGAAAGUGUGGGGAGCAAACAGGAUUAGAUACCCUGGUAGUCCACACUGUAAACGAUGAAUGCUAGGUGUAGGGGGUAUCGACCCCUUCUGUGCCGCAGUCAACACAAUAAGCAUUCCGCCUGGGGAGUACGGCCGCA
rnacentral:rRNA from 1 species